AUUCCAUGCACUACCACUAACAUGCAGCUGUUCAACGCCUCCACAACUGUCAAGCUUGGUGACGGUCAAAGUGCUAAAUUCUGGAGUAGCUCAUGGCUAAAUGGUUCUGCACCUAAGGACAUCGCCCCAAACCUACAUAAGCUUGCAAGGCGGAAAAAUGCCUCGGUGGCGGCUGCUCUCCAUCGAGGCCGCUGGAUGAAAGGAAUCGAGCAACUUAGCACCACUGAGGAUCUGAUCAGUUUCAUUGACCUUUGGCACCGGAUACAAGGGGUUAACCUCUCGAAUCAACCGCAUGACAUUGAGUGGAAAUGGAACGACAACAAAUCAUACACUGCUGCCACUGCUUAUGAUGCCCAAUUCAUCGGAACCAUUGCGAAGCCUGAGCUGAAUGCCCUUUGAAAAGCAAAGGUGGAGGGAAAGAUCAAAUUCUUUGGUUGGCUUCUGUCUCAAAAUAGACUGCCAACUGCUGAUCGUCUUCGCGCGAGAGGAUGUGAACACAACGACACCUGCUCCCUCUGCGACCAAACGAUUGAGACUGCCGCUCAUCUGAUCUGUGGCUGCCCUUUUGCAAAGGAAGUGUGGCAGAAGAUCAACACCAUGCUGCCUAACAUUCAACUUCAAGCAACCUUGCCGUUCACCUCCAUCGCAACCUGGUGGAGAAGUUUUGCCUAUGGGCAGCAGAAAAAGGCAGCAGCUGCGCUAUACUUUGCUUGGAAUAUUUGA
rnacentral:rRNA from 1 species